GUUGCACAUUGUUAGAGCUUGGGGUGAGGCCCCUGGCAGGCCUGUGGACCCACAAGUGUAGGUAGUGUUGUGCUAUACGAGGGGCAAGGCUUUCGCUAACACUCCACUCUGCCCCAGUGCGUGUAGCUUGAUAGUAACCUUUGCUACAGAU
rnacentral:snoRNA from 1 species